UCACAGCCAAGACUUAAUCAGAUUUUCUUAUUUCCUUUCUCUUCCCUGCUAAGCAAGAUGCAUUGCGAUUUCCUCUUCUGUGGACGCACUGGAAUAUGAUCCGGGACUAAUUCCUGAGACAUCAGGUCAGAGAUCUUAGGAGUAGAUGCCGUGGGGAGAAGGAAUUCUACGACUGAUUGAGCCAACAAAUCCUAGCUAGAAUCUAAUCUGGAAAGAGCUCUCUCCUUGUUAGUUUUUCACAGACUGAACCUUUUUUCAUCUACUUGUUUGUUCUCUGCUCUCUCCUCGUCACUUUAUUUUCUUUUUCUUUUUUCCUCUUACAUCUCUCUUAGUCUUCUUUAUCUUCAUCUACUUAUGCUAUUUCUAACUGAUUUUUGUUUUGUUUACAGAUCUGAGGAGGACCAGUGAUGAAACGGGAAGGGACUUCAUCUACUUAUGCUAUUUCUAACUGAUUUUUGUUUUGUUUACAGAUCUGAGAAGGACCAGUGAUGAAACGGGAAGGGGAAGUGGUGGUGUAACGGAGCAUACGCGCCGGAGGUGGUGGUGGCGUGACGAAUCGGAGGAACCGCAGAUGCUGUAUCUAUCAGACCAACACCAGUGGCUUCCCGACCCGAUCGAGUAGUCGCUUUAGAUGGAACCACUCCGAGUCGCCGCUUCAUAUGGAACCACUCCGAUUCGUCGUGGUGCCGUUCAACCAGUGGUGGAAACCGUGCCGCCGUGGCUGAACCCAUAGAGAUGAUGAUGGUGUAUUUGUGUAUUUGUGUAUAUUUGUGUAUUUAUCUUUGUAAUUUUACUUUGAGAAAAUGACUAGGAUAGCACUAAAAAAGUUUGUGUCACAAAUAUAACCUCCUAAGAAUAAAAAUGACCAAAAUAGCACUUAAUGUUUUAUCAAAAGAGAUAAAUAUACAUUUAUACUCCAAUGGUAAAUUAAUUUAGACAUUAGGGUUUAUAGUUAAGGGGUGGAGUUUAGGAUUUAGGGUUUAG
rnacentral:lncRNA from 1 species